rnacentral:rRNA from 1 species
CAACUUGAGAGUUUGAUCCUGGCUCAGAGCGAACGCUGGCGGCAGGCCUAACACAUGCAAGUCGAGCGCCGUAGCAAUACGGAGCGGCAGACGGGAGAGUAACACGUGGGAACGUGCCCUUCAGUUCGGAACAACCCAGGGAAACUUGGGCUAAUACCGGAUACGUCCGUAAGGAGAAAGAUUUAUCGCUGAAGGAUCGGCCCGCGUCUGAUUAGCUAGUUGGUGGGGUAAUGGCCCACCAAGGCGACGAUCAGUAGCUGGUCUGAGAGGAUGAUCAGCCUCACUGGGACUGAGACACGGCCCAGACUCCUACGGGAGGCAGCAGUGGGGAAUAUUGGACAAUGGGCGCAAGCCUGAUCCAGCCAUGCCGCGUGG